rnacentral:rRNA from 1 species
GACGAACGCUGGCGGCGGGCUUAACACAUGCCAGUCGAACGAAGUGGCGAACGGGUGAGUAACGCGUAAUCAACCUGCCCUUCAGAGGGGGACAACAGUUGGAAACGACGUCUAAUACCGAAUAAUGAAGAAGGGGAUUGCGUCUGAUUAGCUAGUUGGAGGGGUAACGGCCCACCAAGGCGAUGAUCAGUAGCCGGGCUGAGAGGAUGAGCGGCCACCUUGGGACGGAGACACGGCCCAGACUCCGACGGGAGGCAGCAGGGGGGAAUCUUCCGGAAUGGACGAAGGUCUGACGGAGCAACGCCGGGGGAGGGAGGACGGCCGUCGGGUUGUAAAGCUCUGUUAAUCGGGACGCGGUACCGGAAUAGAAAGCCACGGCUAACUACGUGCCAGCAGCCGCGGUAAUAC